rnacentral:rRNA from 1 species
UACGUAGGGUGCGAGCGUUGUCCGGAAUUAUUGGGCGUAAAGAGCUCGUAGGCGGUGUGUCACGUCGGCCGUGAAAACCUGCAGCUUAACUGUGGGCGUGCGGUCGAUACGGGCAUCACUGGAGUUCGGCAGGGAAGACUGGAAUUCCUGGUGUAGCGGUGAAAUGCGCAGAUAUCAGGAGGAACACCGGUGGCGAAGGCGGGUCUCUGGGCCGGUACUGACGCUGAUGCGCGAAAGCGUGGGGAGCAAACGGG